rnacentral:rRNA from 1 species
GAUGAACGCUGGCGGCGUGCCUAAUACAUGCAAGUCGAGCGAACGGACGAGAAGCUUGCUUCUCUGAUGUUAGCGGCGGACGGGUGAGUAACACGUGGAUAACCUACCUCUAAGACUGGGAUAACUUCGGGAAACCGGAGCUAAUACCGGAAGAUAUUUUGAACCGCAUGGUUCAAAAGUGAAAGACGGUCGUGCGGUCACUUAUAGCUGGAUCCGCGCUGCAUUAGCUAGUGGGUACGGUAACGGCUUAGCAAGGCAGCGAUGCAUAGCCGACCUCAAAGGGUGGUCGCCCACCUUGGAACUGAGGCUCGGCCCCCACACCUACGGUAGGCCGCAGUCGGGACUCUUCCGCGAUGGGGCAGUGCGUGACGGUGCAACGCCGCGUGAGUGAUGAUGGUCUUCGGAUCCUAAAACUCUGUUAUCAUUGAAGAACAUAUGUGUAAGUAACUGUGCACAUCUUGACGGUACCUAGUCAAAAAGCCCCGGCUAACUCCGUG